AUGACUGAAUCGUUAUUGCAUGUCAUAAAUAUUGUCUUCGGGUUUCAUUAUAAAUAUCUCAUGCCCAUUAGUCAACAUGUUCAACCUCGACCUCUUUACCACAAUAGUACCUUCAUGGAUAACUUGAAUGAUAUCCCACAUUUCUUUUGCAGUUUCACAAUGAAAAACACGCAAGAACUCUCAUCGAGACUAAGAGUAAUAGUGAUGAUUGUUUUUGCUUUCAAACUAUGUUGCACAUUUUCUUUCUCAUCUUUGGUCCAAUCAUCUUCAACAUAUUUGUUCACCAUAAUACCAUUAACUUCAUUUGUGGGAAGAAAUGUAACUUAUUUCAUAACCUUCGAAAUAGCAUGA